rnacentral:sRNA from 1 species
GAUGCAAUGAUGAGAUUUU